rnacentral:siRNA from 1 species
AUUAAAUGUAUGGAUGUUAGGUAC